rnacentral:rRNA from 1 species
CCUACGGGUGGCAGCAGUGGGGAAUAUUGGACAAUGGGCGAAAGCCUGAUCCAGCCAUGCCGCGUGUGUGAAGAAGGCCUUCGGGUUGUAAAGCACUUUCAGUGGGGAAGAAAGCCUUGGGGCUAAUACCCUCGAGGAAGGACAUCACCCACAGAAGAAGCACCGGCUAACUCCGUGCCAGCAGCCGCGGUAAUACGGAGGGUGCGAGCGUUAAUCGGAAUUACUGGGUGUAAAGCGCGCGUAGGCGGUCUGAUAAGCCGGUUGUGAAAGCCCCGGGCUCAACCUGGGAACGGCAUCCGGAACUGUCAGGCUAGAGUGCAGGCGAGGAAGGUAGAUUUCCCGGUGUAGCGGUGGAAUGCGUAGAGAUCGGGAGGAAAACCAGUGGCGAAGGCGGCCGUCUGGACUGACACUGACGCUGAUGUGCGAAAGCGUGGGUAGCAAACAGGAGUAGAUUACCCGAGUAGUC